UUAUAAUUAUUGUUGUUAUUGUUAUUGUUAAUGAGAUCCAAAAAAGGGCAUAUAGGGAAAAUAGAAAAUUAAUAUAGUCAUGAAGUCCCCGCAAUGAAAAGACAUGGAUAAGAUAAAAAAUAAAAGACAAAGACAGCAAAGUAGUGAUAAAAUGGGGGACAAAAACAAUAUACAUGUCUAUAAAGUAUUUGCAGUGAAGUUGUAGUGCUUUUUUUAGACUCCAUCUGUUUUCCACUCUGUUUUUCUGGUGUGCCUCUCUUACCAUGUUAACAUUUGGAUAUAACAACCCCACAACUAGAAUCUAAGGAAAGAAUUAGUAAAAAUAAGGCCAAGGGAGAUCAAACAUUCAUGUCUAUUCAGUUUUUUAAAGUUGAAAACAUUGCUCAAGGAAGAGUAGGAAAGUUAGGCCAGAGAAUUUAGUCAUCAAAAUUUAGGUCAGAGAAGUAAGUCAUCAAAAUUUAGGUCAAUGAAGUUAGUCAUCAAAAUUUAGGUCAGUGAAGUUAGUCAUCAAAAUUUAGGUCAGAGAAGUUAGUCAUCAAAAUUUAGGUCAGGGAAGUUAGUCAUCAAAAUUUAGGUCAGUGAAGUUAGUCAUCAAAAUUUAGGUCAGAGAAGUUAGUCAUCAAAAUUUAGGUCAGAGAAGUUAGUCAUCAAAAUUUAGGUCAGAGAAGUUAGUCAUCAAAAUCAGGCUGAAAACUUAGACAAGAAAAGUGGAAAAAUAUUUAAGUUCAAGAAGUAAGUCAACAAAACUAGUUCAAAACAUUGCACAUGAAAAAAGUAUGAUGAAGAAAAAAUAAAAGUUGAAGAGUGACAGGUUGCGACAAAGAAGAGCACUGACCCA